GGGUGUGCGCGCGGCGCCGCCACGCGUGGGGCGGCAGGCAGAGGAGGGCGCGCCCCCCGAGACACGCAGCGUCCGCUGAGCUGGCCGCCCCCUGUUCAGGGUCUUUAAAAGCCGUAACUGAAAACACUUCCGUCCUCUCGGGAUUGAGCACUUUAAAAACAGCGAAUAAAACCGCUCUUCCUAAGCCUUGUGCUGCCUUCACUGCGACCUGUUGUUGACGUUUCCGUACGUGUCGCGUCCGCACCGCGGGCCGGGGGACCUGACUUCCGACCCUACAGCCAGUGCCCGUGGUGGCAGCUCGAGCGCAGCGAGGACGCGACGGUUCCCGCCGCUCACGCCGCCAGGUUAGGCCGUGGGUGGGGCCGCGAGCACCCUGCUGUUGUAAACUCUCAGGCCAUUGGAGGAAGCCGGGAGGUCUAAGUACGGGGGCUUCUCAUUGGCUGGGCUGUGGCAGUCUCCCAUUGGCUGUGCCGUUGCCGCGACAGGAGGAAAGCUUCCUCCCGCUGCGGUAGUAAAGGAGCGUCCACCUGCCAGGUGUGACUCUCCCUGCUGGGGCGGCUCUUCCGGAGAAACGGGGCUAAGAGCGCCUCCUGCUGGCGUCCUGACUGCAUUCUAAAGCCUUCACUGCACAUGGGCAAGGCCUUGAAUGCCAACACUCGAAGGAGUUUCCCUGGUGAAUGUCAGCCAGGAAAGGAUUUUGAAUUGGGGUGAUAUAAUGCAAACUUUGCUUUUGGAUGAGAAUCAGGCCCAUACGGAGGACACGCUGAGGAGAGGAAAUGAACAGACACCAGGAGACCUGCCUGUGCAUUCAGGACUUUGUUCAGUACUCACUGUGGUGGACCUGAGGAGGUAUAGGGCUGCAGAGAUGAGGGUGAGCCACAAUGCAUGACCCCAGGGAGUUCACUAAUGGGGCAAGAAAUAAUAAACAGAUAAUUACUAUGAGUGUGAUAAGUGCAUUGAAAAACACAGAUCAAAGUGCCAAGGGGUGACUCAUUCUUUCUGGAGGAGGUAAGGAAGCUGUCACCCAGCCCGGACAAGUGGGGCUUGUAGGCAGAGGGAAGUUGUCAAAAGAAGGAAGAGGGUGGAGCUCCUGGGCUGACAAACUUGCCCUGGCAAAGGCCAGUGUUUGUAGAGGGCCUAGGAGACUGGGCUAGAACAGAGAGGCUGGGCCUGGUGGGGGUGAGGUGGGCGUGGGUGUGGAAGAUGGCUGCUGAGGCUGAGUAGGAAGGUGGGCUAUGGGGUCAAGGAGCCAGUCCCGACAGAGAGGGGUCAGGAUGUGUUCCCCAUUAUUCUCCAGACAUGAACUCCACGUCUGCAGUGACACUUAACUUUUCAGAUGUAUAUCCCACCUUCCUUCUGUGCUCCCACCAGAAAGGAAGACUGCACACAGUAUGGCUGAAGGCUCCUGACUCCAUAUCUGGUACCCCUCCCCUUAUGCCCCAAACUCUCAUCUAACACACAGAUACUCUCUAUCUCUCAUUUACACACUUUUUAAAAAAUUUUACCCAAAUUUGUUGUCUAGUUGAAUGUAUGACUCAAUAUCAUUCCAUAGGACAAAUUCAAAAAAUAAAACUUUGAAUAGCAUUUA